rnacentral:rRNA from 1 species
GGAUGAACGCUGGCGGCGUGCCUAAUACAUGCAAGUCGAACGGGAAGCAGCAAUGUUUCUAGUGGCGACCGGGUGCGUAACACGUAGCUGACCUGCCCUUUCGCGGGGGACAACAGUCCGAAAGGAUUGCUAAUACCGCAUACGCUCGGGGGGAUUUGAAGCCUUCGAGGAAACUCACGGGGCGGAAGGAGGGGGCUGCGGCCCAUCAGGUAGUUGGUGAGGUAACGGCUCACCAAGCCAACGACGGGUAGGGGGCCUGAGAGGGUGGUCCCCCACACUGGAACUGACACACGGUCCAGACUCCUACGGGAGGCAGCAGUAAGGAAUAUUGGUCAAUGGGCGAAAGCCUGAACCAGCAACGCCGCGUGGAGGAUGACGGCCUUCGGGUUGUAAACUUCUUUGGCGGGGGACGAAUGAUGACGGUACCCCGACAACAAGUCACGGCUAACUACGUGCCAGCAGCCGCGGUAAAACGUAGGUGGCGAGCGUUAUCCGGAUUUACUGGGCGUAAAGGGUGUGCAGGCGGGACCUCAAGUGGUGCAUGAAAGCUCUCGGCUUAACCGGGAAAUGGUGUGCCAGACUGAGGACCUAGAGGGUGGGAGAGGGACGUGGAAUUCCGGGUGUAGUGGUAAAAUGCGUAGAGAUCCGGAGGAACACCAGAGGCGAAGGCGGCGUCCUGGCCCACACCUGACGCUCAUCCACGACAGCAUGGGGAGCGAACGGGAUUAGAAACCCCGGUAGUCCAUGCCGUAAACGAUGCCGACUAGGCGCUGGGGGUCUCAACCCCCUCGGUGCCGUAGCUAACGCGCUAAGUCGGCCGCCUGGGGAGUACGACCGCAAGGUUAAAACUCAAAU